CUAGUUGGUAAGGUAAUGGCUUACCAAGGCGAUGACGGGUAGCUGGUCUGAGAGGAUGAUCAGCCACACUGGAACUGAAACACGGUCCAGACUCCUACGGGAGGCAGCAGUGGGGAAUCUUGCGCAAUGGACGAAAGUCUGACGCAGCCACGCCGCGUGAGUGAAGAAGGCCUUCGGGUUGUAAAGCUCUGUCGGAAGGGACGAAAAGCAUUAGGGUUAACAGCCCUAGUGCCUGACGGUACCUUUAAAGGAAGCACCGGCUAACUCUGUGCCAGCAGCCGCGGUAAUACAGAGGGUGCAAGCGUUGCUCGGAAUCAUUGGGCGUAAAGGGCAAGUAGGUGGUCUCAUUUGUCUAGGGUGAAAUCCUUGAGCUUAACUCAAGAAGUGCCCUAGAAACGGUGGGACUAGAGUUCUGGAGAGGGUCGUGGAAUUCCCGGUGUAGCGGUGAAAUGCGUAGAGAUCGGGAGGAACACCAGAGGCGAAGGCGGCGACCUGGACAGAUACUGACACUCAACUGCGAAAGCGUGGGGAGCAAACAGGAUUAGAUACCCUGGUAGUCCACGCCGUAAACGUUGGGCACUAGGUGUGGGGCUCUAUCGACGGGCUCCGUGCCGUAGCUAACGCAUUAAGUGCCCCGCCUGGGGAGUACGGCCGCAAGGCUAAAACUCAAAGGAAUUGACG
rnacentral:rRNA from 1 species